GCUAAACAUUGAUGCGCAUCAAGCUGUAACUGCGCUAUACUCUCCCUAGAAGACCGACCUUUGCGAAAACCAAACUGAUUAUUAGGCAAAAGACAAUUUUGUUCUAUAAAGAACUCGAGACGUUGUUUUAGAAGCUGCUCAAAUAUCUUCCCAACACAAGACGUGAGAGCUAUAAUAGGUCUAUAAGAGUCAGGUAACAUUUUAUUUUUGUCUGGCUUUAAAACUGGGAUUAAACAGUCUGUUUUCCAUUCUGCAGGAAUAGUAUUCUCCUUCCAUAGGCGAUUAAGAAUAUUUAAAAAGAUGUUGAGACUGUGGCAAUUAAGUUUUUUGAGUGAAAUAUAUGGAAUGGUAUCAAGACCGAAAGAUGUAUCUCUUCUAGUAAAUAAAGCGGAUUUUAGUUCUUGUAAAGAAAAGGCUCUAUCAAAUAUUUAUUACUAUCAUUAACAACAUUUACAUAGUUUGUUAACUCAUUUGAUACAAAGUCAGAAGUAUACUUUUGUAGAAAAUCUGGAAUCCAACUAUCAUUCAACACACUGUCAGGAAUAUAAGUUUUGUUAAAUUUGCGCAUGUAUUUCCAAAUUGAAGACAAAGGAGUAUAGCGAUUAAAUGAAUUGCACAAGCCUAUCCAGCUAUUUCUUCUUUCACUUUUUAAGAUAAGUUUUUUUAAAGCCUGCAAUCUCUUAAACUCCACAUAAUUUUCAUCAGUGGAGUUGUUUAUAAAUAAAUGUAACCAUUUUUAGCAUUUAAAACUGCUUCUGUACACUUCUGAUUCCACCAAGGCAAUAUUUAAAAGAUUUUUGUGAACAAGAACUAGUAACAUUAUUACUAUUAGAACUUUUUGAAAACAGACAGCUAGGGAUUGACUGCUUGGCAGCAGAAAGUAAAAUAUUACAAAAGGAAUUAAAAGCAUCUAUUGAAGAAAAGUGUCAAAUUUAACAUCAUCCAAAUAAGAAACAAGCAAGUUACUAUAAAUAUUCCAAUUCACCUGCUUAUAAUUUGGGGAGGUGAUAACUACUGCCCAGAGGACUGUCAAUAACUGACCAGUCACAUAAAAGAGCCAAUGAUGGAGUUACCAAAGUUAAGUCAAGAGCAUUAGGAAGCCAAGAUGGAGAUCCUAUUGUGGUAGCUUGACCAUUAUUCAGAAUAACAAGACCAUUCUCAUCUAUAACCUCUAAAACAUCUUUACCUCAAGGCAAUGUAUCAACACAUCCCCACAACAUGUGAUGAGCAUUGAAAUCACCUGCAAAUAUCAUUGGCUUUGGAAUGGACUUAAUUGAACUGUUUAAAUUGUUUUUAUUAAAUGGAGGAUUUGAAUUGGAAGGACUGUAAAAACUCACAAUACUCAGUACUUUGUUAUUAAAUUUAAUUUUAAUGCAAACAUUUUGUAGAGCACUAUCAAAAUAUGUAUUUAUAUUAGAAAAUGUGAUAUUAUUAUGAAUAAAAAUUGCUACAC